ACCAGAUGCAGGGAUCCCAGGGACAGGCUGAGUGGAGGAGGCCAGACCAGAACAUAGAAGACAAGUGAGUGGGGCUGGGCUGUGGGGGAGGGGUGGGGUGGCAGGGAACAGGCAGACCAUCCCUUCUACCCACAGGAUCCUGCUGCUGCAGACAGAAGUGGAAAAGGCCUAGCGGCAUUUGGACCAAAUGACCCAACAGCCUGUUGGCCCAGAGCCCAGCCUGGGGAUCCCCCAAGUGGGUGCAUGGCAGGCCCUGCGCACUGGCCCUGCUGUACCUUUGACUCUGCCCCACACUUUAUUCUCUGGUCCUCAUUAUUGAAGCAUUAUCUAGAGAAGGAAGGCAGCGCAGGGGCUUAGUCCAGCCAAGAGAGGGAUCCUCUUCCAACAUUUGGGAAUACCCUGGGAUCAUUCAGUGACUUCCCUCCUGGUUCAGAUGGGAAAACUGAGACCAGAGAGCAGAGGAGAGCUUGUUCAGAGUCAUAACUUGAGUUGGGGCCAGGACCCUGCCACAACAUGCCCUGAGGCAUCAACGGUCUGCCAAGACCACCCCAGUGUGGUCUGGAAGCUGGAAGGAGACCCCAGGAUUCUGGACCAAGUGUAUCUACAGGAGAUGCUGGUGCCAGGCCUGCAGAUCCAAGAGCAGAGCUGGGAUGGAGGCAGGGCCCAGGAGCUUCGGGACCCAGAGUCUCCAUGCCAGCAGCUGAGACCCCUGCCCAGGCUCAGGACACAGUCCGUCUGCAGGAGCAGUUGCUGAUACUCACUGAGGUGAACAAGAGACUCAGAAGAGCUGGGCCAGAGCCACCAGCAACUAGGGGCCUGCUUGGAGCAGCUGCAGCAUCUGCAGGGAGAGCAGAUGGUGUUGGGGGGCCAUUGCAGGCCCUGGAGGCAGAGCACACCUGGCUACUUCAGGAGAAGGUGGGGCUGCUAGCAGCACUGGGUGUGGCCCCGGGCCAAGAGUCCUGGUAGGUGGCUGCUUGGGCCCAUCCUCAGAGUGUCCAAGCCAGGCUGGGGUGGGGGCUCUGUUCUCACUGUAGGUGAGAUGGCCCUCUCAGCAGGCGGUGGGCCAGUCUCUGUCACCAGCUGGCUGAGGGGGAAUGGCCCAGAGCCCUAAACCCGGAAUCACACGACCAGAGCCAGUCUCCCUUCCCCAGGUAUCAGCGCUCCUGGUUGUCACAUUCUGGCUCUUUUAUGGGGUGGGAAAUCUUUCAGCUUCAAGAAGUCCUGUCUCGCCUACAUAUGGCCAAGCCCCUCCUGCUGGCCCAGGGGCAGGUGGGAGGUGGGGGUGAGAUGACCUUAGCUGCUGGGUGCAAGUCAGGGUCCUUGGGAGUAGAAGUGCCCAGUACAAAGGGGUUCUGUGUGUGCAGGGAGCCAUGAAAGAGGCAUCUCUGCCCCACUCCCCCUCCUAGUUCAUAAGACAAUAAUCACUGAAAGGGAGUGGGGUGGGGGUGAUCUGGGGUCCAUGCUGUACCUGGACUGCACCAUUUCUUCCAGUACACUCCAGGUCCUGGAGGUACCAGUGCCCCUCAGGAAAGAGCUAGAGGCACAAGAAUCACAUCCCAGGCUUCAUGAGGAGAUGGCUGAAUAUUGGAAGGCACGCUGGCACCGGCUGGCAGUUGCCCUGAAAUUUAAAGAGGAGGAACUGCAGAGACUCCAGAGGCAGAGUGGGACCUGGCCUCCCCAGCAUGCAUUUAUUGAGCAUCUGCUACAUGCCUGGCCCUCUUCUGUGUGCAGAAGCAAUGUCAAAUCAGAUCACUCCUUGUCCUCAACAGCUUAUGGUUUGGGGGCACCCGGUAAUUGAGUAAGCAAUUAUUUAUUUAUUAUUGAUUGAUUUAUAAUCGAUUGAUUGAUUGCAUCAGGGUCUCUGUCACCCAGACUGAGGUGCAGUGGUGCAAUCAUAACUCACUGCAGCUUCAAACUCCUGGACUCAAGCGAUCCUCCUGCCUCAGGUAGCUGGGACUGCAGGCACGCAUCACCAUGCCUGGCUAAGUUUUUUUUUUUUUUUUUUUUUUUGUAGAGAUGGGGGUCUCACUACAUUGCCCAGGGUGGUCUUGAACUUCUGACCCUCAAGCAGUUCUCCCACCUUGGCCUCCCAAAGUUCUGAGACUACAGGCAUGAACCACUGUGCCUAUUUUGCAAGUAAUAAUUUAAUGUGCCAGAUGAGGGAAGAGGCACAGUGGGAGCUGGUUAAGGGGUGGCAGAUAGGAGAGUCCCUCCCAGAGAAGGGGUUUCUGAGCCUCUGAACCCUCACACAAGGAUAGACAGGCAUUUUCCAGGAGGAGAGAGGAAAUGAAGGGCAUUUCAGCAAGAGGAAACUGCACAUACAUAUACCCAGAGAGACAGGGGAGGAGUGUUGUAAAUAGCCCCUGAUCCACUUGAGAAGGAGAGUGGGUGAGGGGGUUACUAUGGACAUGGGACAGGGGCCAGAUCUAGGGUUUAGAUGUCCCAGCUCCUGUCCACCUGACUUCACCUCCAGCUUGGUGGCUGCCUUCUCCUGGUCAGCAUCCCUUAGUCUCCUGGGCAAGUGUAUGUGUGCAUGGACAGACAGACACACAGACAUGCAUGCACACACACACCCCCAGGAUACACAUCAGACAUCUGCAGACACCCCCAGAUAUGCACACACACAGACACAGAGAGAGAUACAGACACCAACGAGGUGCCUGGGAGCCAUAGGGAAGUAGUAUUCUAAGGACCCCAUGUGGGAUCCACGCUCUGCCACAAGGCACCUGACUGAAGCUGAUCUGCUGAUCUCGAUGGAAGGAAAAGGAGAGAAAGCUUAGCUGGCUUUGGGCCUCAUAAAGGUUGAGUUGGUCUAAAUCAGUGUAUCUCAAAUGGGUACACAACUGUGCUCAUAGGGGGCUGUUCCUUAAGUCUGCAGUGUAGUCUGCCACUAUAUAUUUGUACAGAGGAAAAUCUCAGUUUUUUGUUUUGUUGUUUUUUUUUUUUGUUUGUUUGUUUUUGUCUAUUUCUCAAACCAGACCCUUGAGGGUCAGAAGAUAUAUCCUCAGCGCCUGGAUGGGCUAUAUUCUUUGGUCAAGUCUGAGGACUUGCAGUGGGCAAUGUCAGUGAGAAGGUAGUGGAGUGACAGAGGGCUGGGCCCUCGGCAGAUUUGUCUCCUAGCAGGAAGAGGUGCUAGGUGAGCCGGAUGCACUUAACCUGCACGUGAUGCAUAAGCCAGUGCCACUUUGGGCCCCACAUGCAGGGCCUUCCAGCCCCUCAGAGACUGUCCAGGCCAUUUUUACUCCCUCCCUGGACCCCUAGAAGGCCAACCCAGGACUCACCUUCUACAGGCAGGUGGGGACCCUGGGCUCUGGGCCUAUCCAGCAAGGAUGGCCUAAAAUGCAGACCCUGGGUCCUGGGCAGGGGUCCUGUGCAGAGUGGCUGAUGAACCAGACUAGCAGUGCACUUCCAGCAGGGCGAGGCUCUUGGAGAUGGGGCAGCAGCUGGAUAGGGUCUGGACAAAGCCAUAUUGCAUCAACGUCCGGCUGGCCAGGGGGUUCACGGGCUCAGCACCCAGCGCUCCCAGGGCCUCUGGCAUGCUCCACCUCCAGUCCCAUCCCCAGCCUCAAGCUCCUCCACCCAACCCUCUCUGGGUGUCUACCUCAGUCUGUCUUCCAUCCAAGGAUUCAGUAGUCUGCACUGUCCCCAGAUUAGUGGCUAAGAUUGUGGGUUUAAAUCUUGGCUCCACAAUAUACUAGCUGUGUGACCUUGGGCAGUUCCUCUGCCUCUCUGGGCCUUAU
rnacentral:lncRNA from 1 species